CGGGGUAUAGCGCAGUCCGGUAGCGCAUCUGGUUUGGGACCAGAGGGUCGUAGGUUCGAAUCCUGCUACCCCGA
rnacentral:tRNA from 1 species